GCCAUGCUUGUGAGGAUUGUACGCUUAGGUACCCAAAGGUAAUGUCUGACAGGUUUGUGCUCUGCUGGUCAGUGGUCACCCGUCAACUGCGAACACUACGUAAUUUUUGUGGAAAUCGAACGAUCGAACCAUUAUUUAAAGACAAAUCAUACUGAAGGCUGCCAUCCUGGAGAUGUAUUAUAGUGAGAUUUUCCCGAGAUUGCUUUUUUGUGAUACUUUGUUCCCAAGCACACAAGUGGAAUGUCAUGUUGAAGUUUUAUGCAGUGAAGUACUGGUGCCUUGAAAUGGAACAUUACUGGGGAUGGGUCUUGUGAAUAACACUCACAUUAGAGUCGAUGCUAGGAAUGUUAAUUUAAAUGGGUGUACAAUACGAGGCUGAAGAGGGUCAGAAAGCGCCUGCAUGAAUCUUAGGACCGUUCUACAUACUACAGGAACUUCAAGAAUGGUUGUACAAGCAAGACAAAGAGGAUCUGGAGACCACCACAUUUAUUAUAUCAAGAUAUACAACUCUGCUAGAAGUAUGGAGCUGCUUCUCUAUUCUGCCACAAACUAGAAAAAUGUACAAUAUCACGACACGUACUUUCAGCGUGCCUGUUUGUGAUGACAAAGCCACAAGAAUUAGGGGAGUGCUACAGAGUGAUUGUAGGAGAUGACAAGAAUCUGGGGAAGGACAAAACCACAAGAAUUAAAGGAGCUAUACACACCGUGAUUGUUGGAGAUGACAAGACCACACCAAUCUCGGGAAGGCUACCCAGAGUGACUGUUGGAGACAAGACCACAAGAAUUGGGAAGGCUACAUGCACUACUAGAAUGUGAAGGAUUGCUACAAAACUCGGGUGGUUCACUAUCCACAAGCAGUAUCAUUACAAACCCUAUACCAUAUGCUAUCAGGUCUGGCAAAAUUUUUGUACAUAUUAGGACUUCGCAUAAAAUUUUGUACAUUCAUGGCCUGAUAGUAUAGUAGAGGGUUUGUAUUAAUAGGGCUUGUGGAUAGUGACUCACUUCAGCGUUAUCUCAGUUUCCAUAUUCUAGAAAGGCAUGUAAGAGGUCUUCCCAUGAUUUUUAAGGGUAGAUGAAUAUGGGACAUGAACAACAAACUCGUGAAGUCAUGGAUUAUUGAAAUCUAUCUUUAAUUCUUAUAUUAGUAUUAAGCAAACAGGAACUGGAAGUCAAACUUUGAUUGUCCCGGUUUAUUACUUUACUAUAGAUUUUAAAUUUCAUAUUUCUCCUUUAUCCUGCUUCUGGUCCUUCUUUUCUCUACUGCUUCGCGCUUGUUUAUGGUUUUCUCUGCUAUUUCCUUUG